rnacentral:snRNA from 1 species
AUCGCUUCUCGGCCUUUUGGCUAAGAUCAAGAGUUAUAUACACACAUAUAUAUGUGUGUGUGUGUGUGUGUGUAUGUACAUAUACAUAUAUAUAUACACAUGUGUGUACACACACACACACACACA